rnacentral:rRNA from 1 species
UUAGUGGCGAACGGGUGAGUAACACGUGAGUAACCUGCCCCAGACUCUGGGAUAAGCGUUGGAAACGACGUCUAAUACCGGAUACGAGCUGCGAUCGCAUGAUCAGUAGCUGGAAAGAACUUCGGUCUGGGAUGGACUCGCGGCCUAUCAGCUAGUUGGUGAGGUAACGGCCCACCAAGGCGACGACGGGUAGCCGGCCUGAGAGGGUGACCGGCCACACUGGGACUGAGACACGGCCCAGACUCCUACGGGAGGCAGCAGUGGGGAAUAUUGCACAAUGGGCGCAAGCCUGAUGCAGCAACGCCGCGUGAGGGACGACGGCCUUCGGGUUGUAAACCUCUUUUAGCAGGGAAGAAGCGAAAGUGACGGUACCUGCAGAAAAAGCACCGGCUAACUACGUGCCAGCAGCCGCGGUAAUACGUAGGGUGCAAGCGUUGUCCGGAAUUAUUGGGCGUAAAGAGCUCGUAGGCGGUUUGUCGCGUCUGCUGUGAAAACGCGAGGCUCAACCUCGCGCCUGCAGUGGGUACGGGCAAGCUAGAGUGCGGUAGGGGAGAUUGGAAUUCCUGGUGUAGCGGUGGAAUGCGCAGAUAUCAGGAGGAACACCAAUGGCGAAGGCAGAUCUCUGGGCCGUAACUGACGCUGAGGAGCGAAAGCAUGGGG